rnacentral:rRNA from 1 species
GAUGAACGCUGACAGAAUGCUUAACACAUGCCAGUCCACUUGAACUUCGGUUUGGGUGGCGGACGGGUGAGUAACGCGUAAAGAACUUGCCUCACAGCUAGGGACAACAUUUGGAAACGAAUGCUAAUACCUGAUAUUAUGAUUUUAGGGCAUCCUAGAAUUAUGAAAGCUAUAUGCGCUGUGAGAGAGCUUUGCGUCCCAUUAGCUAGUUGGAGAGGUAACGGCUCACCAAGGCGAUGAUGGGUAGCCGGCCUGAGAGGGUGAACGGCCACAAGGGGACUGAGACACGGCCCUUACUCCUACGGGAGGCAGCAGUGGGGAAUAUUGGACAAUGGACCAAGAGUCUGAUCCAGCAAUUCUGUGUGCACGAUGAAGUUUUUCGGAAUGUAAAGUGCUUUCAGUUGGGAAGAAAAAAAUGACGGUACCAACAGAAGAAGUGACGGCUAAAUACGUG